UGAAGUUUGUAAACAUUCUAAUUUCAAUAGCUAUUUGGUCAUGUGACCUACUGACCUUAAAUAACUUUCAGAAUGUCCACAUACUGGCGGAGACGGGCGCCGCAAGGCAUCCAGUGCGUUAAUGCGACCGAUUCCGGAGAAGCUGGCGAGAGUCCCGGGGAGAGUUCUCUUUUAUUUGUGACGGGCAGGGUGCCCUGGAAUGGGUUCGACCUGAGAGAGGGGCCCAAGCCCUGAAAAGCGUUGCGGUUUUGGCCGCGUCCGGUGUGCUCUCCCUGGCCCUUGAAAAUCCGGGGGAGAGGGUGUAAAUCUCACACCGGGCCGUACCCAUAUCCACAGCAGGUCUCCAAGGUGAAAAGCCUCUG
rnacentral:ncRNA from 1 species